rnacentral:rRNA from 1 species
AUUGAACACUGGCGGCAUGCCUUACACAUGCAAGUCGAACGGUGACAGGCCGCAAGGUGCUGACGAGUGGCGAACGGGUGAGUAAUGCAUCGGAACGUGCCCAGUAGUGGGGGAUAGCCCGGCGAAAGCCGGAUUAAUACCGCAUACGACCUGAGGGUGAAAGGGGGGGAUCGCAAGACCUCUCGCUAUUGGAGCGGCCGAUGUCAGAUUAGCUAGUUGGUGGGGGAAAGGCCUACCAAGGCAACGAUCUGUAGUUGGACUGAGAGGACGACCAGCCACACUGGGACUGAGACACGGCCCAGACUCCUACGGGAGGCAGCAGUGGGGAAUUUUGGACAAUGGGCGCAAGCCUGAUCCAGCAAUGCCGCGUGCAGGAAGAAGGCCUUCGGGUUGUAAACUGCUUUUGUCAGGGAAGAAAUCUUCUGGGUUAAUACCUCGGGAGGAUGACGGUACCUGAAGAGUAAGCACCGGCUAACUACGUGCCAGCAGCCGCCGUAACAC